rnacentral:rRNA from 1 species
UACGAAGGGGGCUAGCGUUGUUCGGAAUUACUGGGCGUAAAGCGUGCGCAGGCGGCUUCUCAAGUCAGGGGUGAAAGCCCAGAGCUUAACUCUGGAAUUGCCUUUGAGACUGAGAGGCUUGAGUACGGGAGAGGUGAGUGGAAUUCCCAGUGUAGAGGUGAAAUUCGUAGAUAUUGGGAAGAACACCGGUGGCGAAGGCGGCUCACUGGCCCGUAACUGACGCUCAUGCGCGACAGCGUGGGGAUCAAACAGG